GACGAACGCUGGCGGCGUGCUUAACACAUGCAAGUCGAACGGAAAGGCCCUGCUUUUGUGGGGUGCUCGAGUGGCGAACGGGUGAGUAACACGUGAGCAACCUGCCCUUGACUUUGGGAUAACUUCAGGAAACUGGGGCUAAUACCGGAUAGGAGCUCCUGCUGCAUGGUGGGCGUUGGAUAGUCUCGGCGGUCGGGGAUGGACUCGCGGCUGAUUAGCUUGCUGGUGGGGUAGUGGCCCACCAAGGGGAGGAUAGGUAGCUGGCCUGAGAGGGUGAUCGGCCACACUGGAACUGGGACACGGUCCAGACUCCUACGGGAGGCAGGAGUGGGGAAUAUGGGCCAAUGGGCGCAAGCCUGAUCCAGCCAUACCGCGUGGGUGAAGAAGGCCUUCGGGUUGUAAAGCCCUUUUGUUGGGAAAGAAAAGCAGCAGGUUAAUACCCCGCUGUUCUGACGGUACCCAAAGAAUAAGCACCGGCUAACCUCGUG
rnacentral:rRNA from 1 species